rnacentral:rRNA from 1 species
AUGGCGUGGCAAUUGCAGCAAACAAUGGCCACGAUGAGUACAUGCUUUCCGACGUCCUCGCCGGCAACGGUGCGCUGUGCCGCGGCGGCUCGGCGGUCUGCCAACUACGCUCCCAGCUCCUGGGAUUACGACUCCCUCCUCCAGCUCUCGCCCAACAAUGGCGGACAGGCAGAUCAAAUGAUGUCACAGGUCGAUAAGUUGAAGGCUGGCGUGAGGGAGCGGCUGGUGGCGGCGAGCCGAGGCGACCACCAAGCUGCGAAGCUCGGGCUUGUCGACACGGUGCAACGGCUCGGCAUCGCCUACCAUUUUGAGGAGGAGAUCGCCGGUAUCCUCAGCUCCGUCCACCACAAGCGUCACCGGUGCAACUGGGCCAGCGACCCCAGUGAUGUUGCUUCCGCGGCCUUGAGGUUCAGGUUGCUCAGGGAGAGUGGUUUCCCCGUCCUCUUCCCUCCAGGCGAGGAAACACUGGAUGAGGCAAGAACAUUUUCCAAGAAAGCCCUCAUAAAGCUCUUGCCAUCCAUGGAUUACCACUUGCGGCGCGCUGUAGUUCGUUCUUUGGACCUUCCGUUGCACCGGAGGUCUCCUAGACUAGAGGCAAGAUGGUUCAUAGAUCACUAUGCUAGAGAUGAGAGCAAUUCCGACCCAUUGCUCGUUAGAUUUGCAACGACGGACUUCAACAAUGUGCAAAGUUUGCAUCAGGAAGAACUCGCAAGACUGGCAAGGUGGUGGAAGGGGACCGCCCUUAGUGAAAAAUUAGGGUUCGCCAGGGAUCGUCUCAUGGAGUGCUUCCAUUACGCAAAUGGAAUUGUGUGGGAGCCAAACAAUGGAGCAUGUCGAGAAGUGCUUGCUAAAGUCGCCAAUCUAAUAGUUCACUUAGAUGAUGUUUAUGAUGUAUAUGGAACUCUAGAUGAACUUGUUCUCUUCACCGACGCCAUUGGAAGGUGGGAAGAAAGUCCUAGUGAAAGACUCCCCGAAUACAUGCAAGCACUAUAUUCCGUGAUGUACAACACAUCGGCUGAGGUGGCUGAAAAUGUGUUGGAACAACAUGGUUGUGAUGCUCGUCAUGUUCUUCGGAAAGCAUGGCGAGAUAUGGCGGAGUCUUUCUUGGUGGAGGCAAAGUGGCACCAUGGAAACCACAGACCAACAUUGCGUGAGUAUCUGGACAACGGAUCAAUUUCAUCCUCUGCUCCACUGCUGCUGCAACAUGCGUUUCCCCUGCUCCACAUGGAAGAAAAGCUUACCCCAAUGUCUCUUGCUAAAGUUGGAAGCUACCCUAAAUUAGUUGAGUCUGGGUCAUUAGCUGAGCUAGAGCGAGGGGAUGCACCAUCAUCAAUAGCUAUUCACAUGUCAGAGAACAGCUCCAAUGAGCAAGAGUCUCGCGAAGCCAUGGAAGAUCUUACCAUGGAAGCUUGGAAGUCGAUUAACGAAGAUGCAUUCAAACACUGCCAAUUUUCUAGAUCUUUUGCCAAGACUUGCGUGAAUUUGGCUCGAAUCUCACAUUGUGUUUACCAAGGUGGGGAUGGUUUUGGUGCGCCGGAUGGUCAGAAGAGAAGGCAAAUAAGAGAGUUAUACUUGGACUCUUUCAUUAGUGAGAAACAUUAA